rnacentral:rRNA from 1 species
AGAGUUUGAUCCUGGCUCAGGAUGAACGCUAGCGGAGGCCUAACACAUGCAAGCCGAGGGGUAGAGUUAGCUUGCUAACUUGAGACCGGCGCACGGGUGCGUAACGCGUAUGCAACUUGCCCUAACUGAAAAGGAUAGCCCUUCGAAAGGAGGAUUAAUACUUUAUAAUAAAGAUUAUGGCAUCAUAAUUUUUUGAAAGAUUUAUCGCAGUAGGAUAGGCAUGCGUAAGAUUAGUUAGUUGGUGAGGUAACGGCUCACCAAGACGAUGAUCUUUAGGGGGCCUGAGAGGGUGAACCCCCACACUGGUACUGAGACACGGACCAGACUCCUACGGGAGGCAGCAGUGAGGAAUAUUGGACAAUGGGUGGAAGCCUGAUCCAGCCAUCCCGCGUGUAGGAUGACGGCCUUAUGGGUUGUAAACUACUUUUAUCUGGGGAUAAACCUACUCACGUGUGAGUAGCUGAAGGUACCAGAAGAAUAAGCACCGGCUAACUCCGUG